rnacentral:rRNA from 1 species
UAGGGAAUCUUCCGGAAUGGACGCAAGUCUGACGGAGCAACGCCGCGUGAGUGAAGAAGGAUUUCGGUUCGUAAAACUCUGUUGUUAGAGAAGAACAGCGCAUAGAGUAACUGUUAUGCGUGUGACGGUAUCUAACCAGAAAGCCACGGCUAACUACGUGCCAGCAGCCGCGGUAAUACGUAGGUGGCAAGCGUUGUCCGGAUUUAUUGGGCGUAAAGCGAGCGCAGGCGGUCAAUUAAGUCUGAUGUGAAAGCCCCCGGCUCAACCGGGGAGGGUCAUUGGAAACUGGUUGACUUGAGUGCAGAAGAGGAGAGUGGAAUUCCAUGUGUAGCGGUGAAAUGCGUAGAUAUAUGGAGGAACACCAGUGGCGAAGGCGACUCUCUGGUCUGUAACUGACGCUGAGGCUCGAAAGCGUGGGUAGCAAACAGG